GAUGAACGCUGGCGGCGUGCCUAAUACAUGCAAGUCGAGCGAACGGACGAGAAGCUUGCUUCUCUGAUGUUAGCGGCGGACGGGUGAGUAACACGUGGAUAACCUACCUAUAAGACUGGGAUAACUUCGGGAAACCGGAGCUAAUACCGGAUGAUAUUUUGAACCGCAUGGUUCAAAAGUGAAAGACGGUCUUGCUGUCACUUAUAGAUGGAUCCGCGCUGCAUUAGCUAGUUGGUAAGGUAACGGCUUACCAAGGCAACGAUGCAUAGCCGACGGGAGAGAGUGGUAGGCCACCUGGGAAGUGGGACAGGGUCCAGGCUACUACGGGAGGGAGCAGUAGGGAAUCUGCCGCAGUGGGCGAAAGCCUGACGGAGCAACGGCGCGUGAGUGAUGAAGGUGUUCGGAUCGUAAAACUCUGUUAUUAGGGAAGAACAGAUGUGUAAGUAACUGUGCAGAUCGUGACGGUACCUAAUCAGAAAGCAACGGCUAACUACGUG
rnacentral:rRNA from 1 species